rnacentral:rRNA from 1 species
UACGUAGGGGGCGAGCGUUGUCCGGAGUUACUGGGCGUAAAGCGUCCGCAGGUGGUUAGCCAAGUUUCGACUGACAGUGCCCGGCUUAACUGGGCAAGGCGUCGGAAAACUGGCCAACUUGAGGGCUUCAGAGGGACACGGAAUUCCGGGUGGAGUGGUGAAAUGCGUAGAGAUCCGGAGGAACACCAAAGGCGUAGGCAGUGUCCUGGGGAGUACCUGACACUCAUGGACGAAAGCCAGGGGAGCGAACGGGAUUAGAUACCCCGGUAGUCCUGGCCGUAAACGAUGACCACUAGGUAUGCGGGGUAUCGACCCCCUGCGUGCCGUCACUAACGUAUUAAGUGGUCCGCCUGAGGAGUACGGUCGCAAGAUUAAA